rnacentral:rRNA from 1 species
UAGAGUUUGAUCCUGGCUCACAUUGAACGCUGGCGGAAUGCUUUACACAUGCAAGUCCAGCGGCAGCGCGGGGCAACCUGGCGGCGAGCGGCGAACGGGUGAGUAAUACAUCGGAACGUGCCCAGACGUGGGGGAUAACUACUCGAAAGAGUGGCUAAUACCGCAUACGAUCUGAGGAUGAAAGCGGGGGAUCGCAAGACCUCACGCGUCUGGAGCGGCCGAUGGCAGAUUAAGUAGUUGGUGAGGUAAAGGCUUACCAAGCCUGCGAUCUGUACCUGGUCUGAGAGGAUGAUCACCCACACUGGGG